rnacentral:rRNA from 1 species
CUAAGAUAGUAAGAGCAUACGGUGGAUGCCUUGGCGAUAUCUGCCGAUGAAGGACGCGACAAGCUGCGAAAAGCUGCGGAGAGGUGCAAAUGACCAUUGACCCGCAGAUCUCCGAAUGGAGCAAUCCGGCAGGGUUUAUCCCCUGUCACCCAUAUCUUCGAAUAUGGGAGGGAACCGGGCGAACUGAAACAUCUAAGUAGCCCGAGGAAGAGUAAUCAAACGAGAUACCCCAAGUAGCGGCGAGCGAACGGGGCCUAAGCCCAAACCGGUGAAGGAAACUUUGCCGGGGUUGAGGACUGCCAUACGAACUCAACCAUUAGCCGAAAUUCCUGGGAAGGAAUGCCGUAGAAUGUGAAAGCCAUGUAAGCGAAAAUGGAAAAGGGACAGGCAGCACCAGAGUACCGCGGGACACGAGAAACCCCGUGGGAAGCCGGGGGGACCACCCUCCAAGCCUAAAUACUACCUGAUGACCGAUAGAGGAGCAGUACCGUGAGGGAAAGGUGAAAAGGACCCCGGGAGGGGAGUGAAAGAGAACCUGAAACCUUGUGCCUACAAGCACAUAGAGCCCGUCAAAGGGUGAUAUGGUACUUUUUGUAGAACGGUCCGGCGAGCGAUUGUACGUUGCGAGCUUAAGGUCUUAAGGACUGGAGGCGUAGCGAGAGCGAGUCUAAACAGGGCGUUUAGUAGCGUGCAAUGGGCCCGAAACCGGGUGACCUACCCAUGAUCAGGCUGAAGUGAAAGUAAAAUUUCAUGGAGGGCCGAACCGACCUCCGUUGAAAAGGCGGCGGAUGAAUUGUGGGUAGCGGAGAAAUUCCAAUCGAACUCGGAGAUAGCUGGUUCUCCCCGAAAUAGCUUUAGGGCUAGCCUCAUGUUAGAUAUCCGGAGGUAAAGCACUGAAUGGCCUAGCGUCCGAGAGGAUAGCGAAGCCUAUCAAACUAAGAAUGCCGGAAUAUUGAUGCAUGGGAGUCAGACAGUGUGAGAUAAAUCUCAUUGUCAAAAGGGAAACAGCCCAGAUCUACAGCUAAGGUCCCAAAUUGUAUCUAAGUGGAAAACGAUGUGGAAAUACGCAGACAACCAGGAUGUUGGCUCAGAAGCAGCCACUCAUUUAAAGAGUGCGUAAUAGCUCACUGGUCGAGCGUCUCUGCGCGGAAAAUUUAACGGGGCUAAGAUACAAACCGAAGCUUAGGCUGCACGAAAGUGCGGGGUAGGGGAGCGUUGUGUAAGCGGAGAAACAGUAGCGUAAGCGGCUGUGGAGUUUACAGAAGUGAGAAUGCCGGAAUGAGUAGCGCGAAUGUGGUGAGAAUCCACAUGGCCGGAAACCUCAGGUUUUUGGAGGAAGGUUCGUCCGCUCCAAGUUAGGCGGGAGCUAAGGUGAGGCCGAAAGGCGUAGCCGAUGCACAGACGGUAGAGAUUCCGUCCCCACCGAAAGAUUUAAGCACAGGGACACUUUUAGAAGGUCGGAGCCAGGUGUUGGUUCUGGUAGUGAUCGAGGGAAAUUUAGUACCGAAGUCUGGCUGGAUAAGAGGCGAGAAAAGCUGUGUGUAUAUCUAAGGUGCCCGUACCGCAAACCGACACAGGUAGGUAGGAAGAAGAUUCUAAGGCCAACGGGAGAAGGGUUGUUAAGGAACUCGGCAAGUUGACCCCGUAACUUCGGAAUAAGGGGUGCUCACGAGAGUGAGCCGCAGAGAAUAGGCCCAGGCAACUGUUUACCAAAAACACAGGUUUGUGCUAAAUCGAAAGAUGACGUAUACGAGCUGACGCCUGCCCGGUGCUGGAAGGUUAAAAGGAGAUGUGCAAGCAUUGAAUUGAAGCCCCAGUGAACGGCGGCCGUAACUAUAACGGUCCUAAGGUAGCGAAAUUCCUUGUCAGGUAAG